UAGAUAAAACUUAAAAAAAGCAGCAGCAGAAUUGAAAUGUAAUUCGCCGAGCACAGAACCCACACACUACCGCGCACGGGGCUCUGGCUCUCCGUGUAUUCAGGGUCUCCACGCGCGGCCAUUACCAGUCAGCCUUAGAACACUCUCCACGCCUCACCUCCGGAAGGACCCCCAGCAAGCAAGGAGCCCCGGUGCUGGUUGGCCGGCGGGGAGGCGGGCUCCAGAGCGUCCGGGGAAGGGAGACAGAGCCCAGCCCAGCAAGGAGAGGAUGCUCCCAGCGCCUUGACCUUGCCGAGUUCCUGAGCCGGAGGACGGGGCCCCGCGAGGCCGGCCGGAGGUGGACAUCAAGGGAGGCGCCCCGCAGACAUCAAAUGGGCCCCGUGGACCGGCGAGGAAGGGCUGGCCCCCGCUGCCACCUGCAGCUGCCUGGUCAUUGUUCCCGCAGGCAGGAGCCCAUCCGCCCAGGGGCCGCGGUGCCUCCUCGGGGCCCAGGACUCUUUUGUUUGGUUCUGAACAAAUAAA